rnacentral:rRNA from 1 species
UACGUAGGGUGCAAGCGUUAAUCGGAAUUACUGGGCGUAAAGCGUGCGCAGGCGGUUUUGUAAGGCUGGCGGGAAAGCCCCGGGCUCAACCUGGGAAUUGCGAUGGAGACUGCAAGGCUUGAAUCUGGCAGAGGGGGGUAGAAUUCCACGUGUAGCAGUGAAAUGCGUAGAGAUGUGGAGGAACACCGAUGGCGAAGGCAGCCCCCUGGGUCAAGAUUGACGCUCAUGCACGAAAGCGUGGGGAGCAAACAGG